rnacentral:rRNA from 1 species
GACGAACGCUGGCGGCGUGCUUAACACAUGCAAGUCGAACGAAGUGGCGAACGGAUGAGUAACGCGUCAUCAACCUGCCCUUCAGAUGGGGACAACAGUUGGAAACGACUGCUAAUACCGCAUACUGAAGGAGGGGAUUGCGUCUGAUUAGCUAGUUGGAGGGGUAACGGCCCACCACGGCGAUGAUCAGUAGCCGGGCUGAGAGGAUGAACGGACACAGUGGGACUGAGAAACGGCCCAGACUCCGACGGGAGGCAGCAGUGGGGAAUCUUCCGCAAUGGACGAAAGUCUGACGGAGCAACGCCGCGUGAGUGAUGACGGCCUUCGGGUUGUAAAGCUCUGUUAAUCGGGACGCGGUACCGGAAUAGAAAGCCACGGCUAACUACGUGCCAGCAGCCGCGGUAAUAC